GAGAGAGAGAGAGAGAGAGAGAGAGAGAGAGAGAGAGAGAGAAAGGAAGGAAGGAAGGAAGGAAGGAAGGAAGGAAGGAAGGAAGGAAGGAAGGAAGGAAGGAAGGAAGGACACGAUUCUAAAUGUUUGAUUUCAGAUACACUAUUAACACCUGCAGAGGGGGGAAGAAGAAAGAAAAAGAAAAGGGGGGCAGCCCAGCCGCCAUACCUCCCUGGAGUGCCCUUGGGGACUCCCAGGACUGAGCCAGCUAGACAACCACCUUCAGCCUCUUUUUUAAAACGCUUUUUUUUUUAAUUACUAGGGGAAAAAUAUACACAUAAGCAAAAAAAAAAAAAAAAAAAAAUCCUCCCGGCAGGCGCGAGCGGGGGCGGCGAGCAGGCCAAGGCGGUAACGCCAGCCUAAUGCACAGAUAGCUGACAUCAACUUCCGUCAGGCGGCUCCGGGAGAUCGAACCUUUCGAUUGUAACUGGGACAAUUUGCAUAGUGAUUCCCUUUCAGAGCUUUCUCGGGCCCAUAACAAGCGCAGGCAGCUAUUCAAAUGCAAGUUGCGUCCCUAAAUGCGCGGCUGGCCUGAGCUAAAGGAGCAGCUCGUCACCGUGCGAGCCGAGACCAGCGUUGGGGUUCUGGGUCACCUCUUUUCUCCCGGCUUUUCCCUCGCUCUCCGGUUCCUGAAUUAGCUGUUUGUUUAUGGCUCCAGACGUGUGUGCCAGCGAGCCGAGGCAGCGUGCAAGGGAGAAAAUUGAUCUUUCCUCAGACUCAAAGCUGGAGCCGAAGAAGUGCGGGGGAUUUGGGGGUUCUGAGUGGGACUCAGACCCUAGGUGCUGAGGGGAAGCUCGUGGGCUCUCUGGCCCGCUUCUCUAACCCCAGCGACCUUGCAGGAAUCCUCAGGCCUGAGAGCGCCCGGGCUCUGGGCUUUGCAGAAAGUGGCGGCGGCUGUGUCCCGGGUUUUAAAAUCAACGCAAAGGAAAGGAGGCAAAGCUGAAAGCUUGUCGCGUGUCAGAAGCAACCUGCCGUGAAAUCCGCUAAUGCGCCCCGACUCGCCCUUCGCGCAUGUAGCCACAGCAAAUUAUUGCUCAUUUGAUACUCAGAAUUCUAUUGACCAUGGCUUUCGUCGGAGAGAGAAUUCUAACUACUGCUGCUCUGGGCUCAGAGCUGAAGCUGGAAACAAGUAAAUCUAGCAAGAAUUGAUGGAGACAUGCUGGUGAUUGGAGCCACGUGGCCUUGCAUAGAAACCUGCUUUUUUAUUCUGCCUGCCUUGCUCCAAUUCAGGGAAAAGGUCGGCCCCUUUGGAACAGAUUUGCUUACUUGGAAGGUUGGAUAUACAUUUGGCAAGUUCUUUCCAGCUCUAGCCAGGCUGGGGGAGAAAAUGAGACAAUGGAAGAUUGCUCCACGGGCUUUUGGUCAAAGCUAACCCAAGGCAGGAAUACUUGAAGAAAUAUUAAACCAGACCUUUUGAUUCUGCCACAUGAAGAUCACGUCCUAAAUUUCAACCCCACCCCCACUCCUUCAAGACUCUAGGGCAUUACAGAGCUGCUAGAGUGGAGAUGGUACCCUGAGAUCUGAGUCUGGUUGGCAGUGGGCACCCAGCCUCCAUGACCGAAGCCACAGCCAUAGUGUCCAACUGUGUGAAGAAGGAACCUGUGCCCAGAGAAUAUCUGAUCUUUGAUUCUGGAACUCACAGCUCCAGGUGGCUGAAGAGAGUUAGUCCCUAAAUGAGGCUGGAGAACCGGACAAUGAGAAAGACCAAGUGAGUCCCCCAGGAAGCCAGUCACGGAGUCUGCAUUCCUGUUGCAAGAAGCUGAUGCUGGAGACCCAAAAACUUGACCUGUCAAAGGGUGCUUGCCCAUCUCCCUCCUGGCCUAGUAAGGGACCUCCACCUCACCUCCUCACUGCCUCCAUCUGGGAGAAAGUCACCUCGACUCAAAAGAAAGCAAGCCCAAGUGAAUCAGACCACAGAACCUGUCAGAUUUCCAAGAAACAAGCAACCCAUACCCUUCUCCCUCAGCCCUGACACCUAGAGAGUCCGUGGAAGGGAUGGCUGGCAGGGCUUUCAUUUCAACAAGUACUGGGAGCUAAACCUUCUAGGCCGGUUUCCAGAGCAGCAACAAGAACAUAAAGGAAAGCAAUUAACGGUUUUCUAAAUGAGUCCCAGCUUGUGCCGCCUGACUCCAAACCUAAAGGUGCAUCUAAGGGUGCUAAGGGACCAGGAUAGGUACUAGUUGGUUUUGUUUGUUUGUUUGUUUGUUUUUCUAAUGAUACUGUUAAAUGUGUGUGAAACCACAGCCAAGAAGCCACAUUGUUCCAGAUUCACGCAGUAAAAUUGUAGGAGUGAGCACUGCAGAUAGCAUGCCCAACAUGGAGUACAGGGAAACAUGGAGUGUGGGAGACAUGGAGAAACUGCAGUGAAUUCUGACACUUACAUUGAACAUGUUGGGAGUUUGGAGGAAGAUACAUUGUGGGCUCUUUUGUGUUUUUUAUGUAGUUUUAAAAACAACCCCCCCCAAACCAGGCUGUUGAUACAAUCAUAGCAUCUCAGAUGUAGCAUAUUUAUAUUUCCCCAAGUAUAUUCACAAGAUAUAUAUAUAUAGCCUACGUUGGUGUGGAAAACAAACUAACAUUUUGUUGAUUCCAGCACAAACUCUGAAAGCCAAAACAAACAAACAAACCACUCUGGGGGACAAAGGGAGGGUGACUUCAAGCAGUCCUUUCUAUAGGGGUGGCUGGCUGAGGUCUGGGACUGUGGAGUUGAGAAAAAGCUAAGUAGAUCAUCCUGAACUAAAAGUUACCUUGGGAAACAAGACUUGAGAUCCGGGGUUGAGGUCAUGUGGGGGGUCAUCCAGUAUUCCUUUGGAGCAUAGCAUAGCUGAGAACUUAGCAGGACUCAGUCACUUCAGACUGGAGAUUGGGAAAUUUCUUCCCCUGGCGUGCACAGCACCAAACCUGAGUUAAGGUGUCCUUGCCUCUCCCUCAGGAUGCUCCCGACAGAGGUACUGCACUUCCCAACUGCCUUAGGCCCCUCGGGGUGUUGCCAGGCAAAUGAAACAAAAAGAACUCAAUAGUAAAUUAUUUUGUUCAGCCUUCUGUCUUUUUAUGAAAAUAAAAGCCAACACUUUGUCAUUUUUAAUUGCAUAAGCAGACAAUAAAUCUAAUUUCGAUAUUGAUUUUUUUCCAGAAUCAAGUGAUUUUUUUUUUCUUUUGCAGUCUGUUGUGUUUCCUUUCUGAAAAGACUCAUUCUCUGUUUACCCUGUGGGAAUGGGGCCCGUGGAUCCAAUAGGGGGUGUUGCUACUCUGAAACACAAACUUCAUAGUGGACCUCAAAAGAGAUUUUUCUCCAAAGCAGGAAGUUUGGGUUUGGUCUAACUAUCGCAAGACGGGUUUCAACUUAGCCACCCUUAUGUCCUGAAAUAGAGCUAAGGCUCAGGUGGUGAUUUUAGUAGUUAGAGCCUCUGAGAUUCAUUUCGAUUUUCCCCUUUAAUUAAUAAAAUAAAGUAAAAUAAAAACAAGCACGCAGAAGUCUUGCUGAAGUCUGGCGUCAGCAUGAGGCUACGAGGCCCUAGAAACUCUUCCCAAAUGAUGGCAAGCCUGAGCUCCAGCCAGACGAACCUUGGCAGUAGUAAAAAUCUAGCUGAGAAACGUCAAGGGGGUCAGGCAACAGCAAGGGACCACGGAAGCGCAGGUAGGCCCUUUGCUCACCUGCCCCUCCUUCAAAAAGGGGGGGGGGAAGGGAUUCCUUGGUAUUGGUGCUCAAAAUGACUGAUACCUUUUACUUUGACCGCCAAGGGGUACAGACGCCGCCGAAGGAGGUGGAGGAGUGCAGGAAGCUAGGAGCAAGAAACAAGACUGGAGGUAGGAGAGAGAAAAAGGAGGGAAGGAUGGAGGAAAAAAACUGGAAGAGAGGAUGUAGGAUGAAAAGAAUGAAAGAUUGUGUUGGAAAGGAAACGGGGAAAGGGAGAGAAGGAGGAAAGAAGGGAGAGUGUAUUAAGAGACCAAAUAGACAAAAAUAUAUCAUCCCUAUUUCUGAAGAAAACUAUGAUCGACCCACCUGCCCCCAGCACCGGACGUCCUCUUGCCCCUUUCGGCGCCAGAGCAAAAGUCGCAACUUCCCGCUCUAACCCAAAACACUUAAGCCAGGAUGCACCAGAAUCGCCAGCCUGCCUGACUACCCUCAGCAACCCGCAGCGGCUGGGCAGCCCUUCCCGUGGCUGUCAGGGUCACCACGACCUCUGCCCUCAGAGGCCUGUCCUCGUGCUGUGGGGUGGGGAGGAGGGGACCGGGCGACUGAGCUCCUUGCAGAGGGGAGGAGGGGACCACGAGUUUGCAACUGUCCCUUGGGCUCUGACCUUUCUAGCAGCCUCCCAGGGUCAGGAUGUAACCUUUCGUAUCCCCCGCUGCCUGCCUUCCCCCUAGCUGUGGCCUCAGCUAGGGGACAGGGAGGUCGAUGCCGGGGCUGGCAGCCUCAGUGGCCGCAGAGGACCCGAUGUGGGUGAAGACCUGAGCCUGCCUGCUCUGUAUGCCUAGAGUUCUCAGCAUCGCAGAGCAGCCCUGGGGUGCAGUAGGAAGCAAAGGUUGCGCAGCCUAGGCUGCCUGAGGGGUCUCGAACAGCUAUCCCAUCCCUAGGUCCCGGGUGAGCUGCGCGCUACAGAUGUGUCCAGCACCCCCUGGUCCCCAGGAGGCCGCAGCGUUUGACCCCGCUUAGGGGACCAGUGCCAAGCUAACCAGAGGAAAAACCUAGGCUGAAGUACUGGCCGCAGAGGUGCGGCCUCCUGUCCCCUCCUGGACACUGGGGCCCAGCUUCACGCGUCGGUCUCCUUCGCCCACUUCCAGAAUCUUCUGCCUUCGGCGCCUCCAGAGGGCUCUCCCAGCGGAGAACCGAGCAGAGGUUCUCCAAGCAGCACACCGGAGGCUGAGACUGCUGUAGCUUAUCCGGCCCCCCCAGCCCUCCAUGGCUUGGGGUUUUCGCGGUCUCCCCAGCUGGAGCCAGGGCCGCCAGAAGCCAAGAGCGUUAGGUUCAAAUGCAUCAAGGUUCCGAAGUCAUUUAUCCGGGUUUCAUAAAUAAUUUUCUUCUUACACUUAAGCCCAAUUCCUGCCCCCUUCCCGUUUUUAUUGCGGGGUUUCAGUGGCUUAAAAAGUUUCCAUGGCGGGUGGGUGGUUGUUCCCUUUUUCCAUCAUUAAUGUCAUUACUAUGAACUAUCAAUAACCUUGUCGUUGGGAGCCGAGUUUCACGGUAUUGAUCCGCGCGGCUAUUCAUCUCUGCCAUGCAAGACACGGAAUAAUUUUCGCAUUACAGUAGCUUGGAUUUGCUUUUAAUUCAUAUUUAAAGCUGUAACCGGCUCAGUGGAGCGCUCUGUGAAAGACUAGAGGCGCCUAAUUAAUAAUAAGUCAGAAACGAAGGAAGGCACCGGCGAAUAAAUAAUUAAUACAGACAUCUAUGUCUCUUUGAAUAUUGCUCCUUUAAAAAUUUAGACUUACCAGGACCAUACUGUAAGUCUGCCAUUUAUAUUACAGGGAUGAUUUAAGAAAGCUAUUUUUUUCCCUUGAAAUACAAUAAUGAAUUAUUUAUGGUGUUUUGCAAACCUAAGUUCCCUCAUUAGCCGGCCCCUCUAGUUUGUUUCUUCCAGGUGGAAAACACCGGUUUUUAAAAAUAAUUACAAUAAACUCCCAACAAGAACCCCUU
rnacentral:lncRNA from 1 species